UUUGUAGAGGCUCAACAGCUGGUCAUGUGCAUGAGUUUACUUCAGUUCACUCCAGUCCUCAGGUAACUCUGGUGUGAGUGUGUGUCAGUGUUCUGCUGGGAGGACAAGCUGCCAGGAUGACUCUGCCUCAGCUCCAUCAUUGUGGGGCUCCGCUCUGAACUAUAACUUAACUGAUGGAAGCAGUGACCCUGAGGGGUUGUAACAAGAUGACUGAACUACCUGUAAGGAAAGCCUAGUGACAGGAUGGCCAAACCAACCAGCCUGACCCCCUGCAACAGCCACUACCAACUCAACAUACACCAACUUCACUGGACCUGCCACCUCCCUCCCCACUUUACCUAACUGCCUUUUUCGGGACAACAAAACCCUUUAAACCUGCUCCUGUGUUUGGUGUGUUGCACUUUGGUGCAGCAUCUAGUGAAAUCGUAAUAAUCAGUGAGUGUAACCAAAUGCAUAUAACCAUAAGGUCACCUCAGCCUUAUACCCAAGUCUUAUUUAAACACAAUGGAAGCUCCAUGUUAUACAUACAGGAGAAUAUGAGUUAAAACAUUGACAUUUUCGAUGGUAUGGUAAAAAAAAUGUGUGUCACACAAUGUAACCAUAAAAUGCAUUAUGGGAUAUUUCAAACAACUGAGCUGUGAUAUACCUGAGGAGAUAAGGGAGAAACAGACACAAGCUGAUCCUCCAGGAAACUUGUUUGAUUAAAAAGUUGAUCAUAUCGUUUGAGAGUUGAAAUAUUUUGUCAAAGAUAAUUUGAUUUAAUUGUUUAAACACUACAGCAGUGUUCUGUGAUCCCUCAAAGGAUAAGUGAAUUGAUGGAUUUUUAAAUAUAAAAUAUGCCUGAGUGCCCUAUGACAACUUCUUUAUGUUGUUUUGUGCUACCACCACGUGCUGUUUCUACCCCCACCCUCAAUAAAAAAGUAUUAAACACA